rnacentral:rRNA from 1 species
UACAGCGGGGGCAAGCGUUGUUCGGAAUUACUGGGCGUAAAGGGCGCGUAGGCGGCCUGUUAAGUCGAACGUGAAAUCCCCGGGCUCAACCCGGGAACUGCGUCCGAUACUGGCAGGCUUGAAUCCGGGAGAGGGAUGCGGAAUUCCAGGUGUAGCGGUGAAAUGCGUAGAUAUCUGGAGGAACACCGGUGGCGAAGGCGGCAUCCUGGACCGGCAUUGACGCUGAGGCGCGAAAGCCAGGGGAGCAAACGGG